GACGAACGCUGGCGGCGUGCUUAACACAUGCAAGUCGAACGCUCUCGACCUUCGGGUCACAUGAGAGAGUGGCGAACGGGUGAGUAACACGUGAGGAACCUACCCCAAAGUCGGGAAUAACUCAGGGAAACCUGAGCUAAUACCGGAUGCCCUCUACGGAUCGAAUGGUCUGUAGCGGAAAGAUUUAUCGCUUUGGGACGGCCUCGCGGCCUAUCAGCUUGUUGGUGAGGUAAUGGCUCACCAAGGCAUCGACGGGUAGCUGGUUUGAGAGAACGAUCAGCCACACUGGGACUGAGACACGGCCCAGACUCCUACGGGAGGCAGCAGUGGGGAAUCUUGCACAAUGGGCGAAAGCCUGAUGCAGCGACGCCGCGUGGGGGAUGAAGGCCCUAGGGUCGUAAACCCCUUUCAGUAGGGACGAAAAUGACGGUAC
rnacentral:rRNA from 1 species